CUGCGUUCCCCCCUUUUUUUUUCAAACAUCGCCUCCUGCAACACAGCCAUGUAUAGGAGGUCCAGCCUGCCCAGUGACUACAAGUUCAACGGCCGCGGUAUUUUGACCGUGCAAAGGUAGCGCAAUCACUUGUCUUUUAAAUAGAGACCUGUAUGAAUGGCUAAACGAGGGCUUAACUGUCUCCCCUUUCAAGUCAGUGAAAUUGAUCUGCCCGUGCAGAAGCGGGCAUAAUAAUACAAGACGAGAAGACCCUUUGGAGCUUAAGGUACAAAACUCAACCACGUCAAGCAACUUAAUAAAAAGCAAGAACCUUGUGGAACAUGAAAUUUUACCUUCGGUUGGGGCGACCACGGAGGAAAAACAAGCCUCCUAGUGGACUGGGGUAAAUUUCCUAAAACCAAGAGAGACAUCUCUAAGCCACAGAACAUCUGACCAAACAUGAUCCGGCCACCAAGACCGAUCAACGAACCAAGUUACCCUAGGGAUAACAGCGCAAUCCUCUCCCAGAGUCCAUAUCGACGAGAGGGUUUACGACCUCGAUGUUGGAUCAGGACAUCCUAAUGGUGCAGCCGCUAUUAAGGGUUCGUUUGUUCAACGAUUAAAGUCCUACGUGAUCGUUUUCCAAAAACGGGGAGAA
rnacentral:rRNA from 1 species